rnacentral:rRNA from 1 species
AACGAACGCUAGCGGGAUGCCUCAAACAUGCAAGUCGUACGAGAAAGCUUCUUCGGAAGCGAGUAAAGUGGCGCACGGGUGCGUAACACGUAGCUAACGUACCCCCUCGCUGGGGAUAACUCCGGGAAACCGGAGCUAAUACCGAAUGAUCUGAAACGGCCUGCGGGCUGUUUCGGUAAAGCCGUAAGGCGCGAGGGGAGCGGGCUGCGGCCCAUUAGUUUGUUGGUGGGGUAAAAGCCUACCAAGACUACGAUGGGUAGCUGGUCUGAGAGGAUGAUCAGCCACACUGGAACUGGAACACGGUCCAGACUCCCACGGGAGGCAGCAGUUGGGAAUCUUAGACAAUGGGGGAAACCCUGAUCUAGCAAUCCCGCGUGAAUGAUGAAGGCCUUAGGGUCGUAAAGUUCUUUCAGUAGGGAAGAAGCUCUGACGGUACCUACAGAAGAAGCACCGGCUAACUCCG